CGGUCCCAAGGGUAUGGCUGUUCGCCAUUUAAAGUGGUACGCGAGCUGGGUUUAGAACGUCGUGAGACAGUUCGGUCCCUAUCUGCCGUGGACGUUUGAGAUUUGAGAGGGGCUGCUCCUAGUACGAGAGGACCGGAGUGGACGAACCUCUGGUGUUCCGGUUGUCACGCCAGUGGCACUGCCGGGUAGCUAUGUUCGGAAUAGAUAACCGCUGAAAGCAUCUAAGCGGGAAACUAGCCUCAAGAUGAGAUCUCACUGGGAACUUGAUUCCCCUAAAGGGCCGUCGAAGACUACGACGUUGAUAGGUCGGGUGUGUAAGCGCUGUGAGGCGUUGAGCUAACCGAUACUAAUUGCCCGUGAGGCUUGACCAUAUAACACCCAAACAAUU
rnacentral:rRNA from 1 species